rnacentral:lncRNA from 1 species
UGAUACGUAUCAAUAGAAAAUAACUCGACGAGAUCAGCCUCGACCUCAGGCUGGUACUCUCUUCGGCCGACUUAUCGAAAGCUCAAUUUCGAGAGUGGGGGGCAUCUGUUGUGGAUCUGCACCUCGACCUCGGCUAAUACAUCCUUGGUUAAAGUUGAGCUAUGGGAGAUUAAUGUUUACCAGAUUAUGGAUAUACAGUAGAUAUGGAGAUCACCUGGCAUGACCUAUUGGGUUAGCAGCAGUUCCUGCUCCUCGACCUUGCCUUAGUUCACCUUGUCCUCGGA